rnacentral:rRNA from 1 species
GACGAACGCUGGCGGCGUGCUUAACACAUGCCAGUCGAGCGGAAAGGCCCUGCUUUUGUGGGGUGCUCGAGUGGCGAACGGGUGAGUAACACGUGAGUAACCUGCCCUUGACUUUGGGAUAACUUCAGGAAACUGGGGCUAAUACCGGAUAGGAGCUCCUGCUGCAUGGUGGGGGUUGGAAAGUUCCGGCGGUUGGGGAUGGACUCGCGGCUUAUCAGCUUGUUGGUGGGGUAGUGGCUUACCAAGGCUUUGACGGGUAGCCGGCCUGAGAGGGUGACCGGCCACAUUGGGACUGAGAUACGGCCCAGACUCCUACGGGAGGCAGCAGUGGGGAAUAUUGCACAAUGGGCGGAAGCCUGAUGCAGCAACGCCGCGUGCGGGAUGACGGCCUUCGGGUUGUAAACCGCUUUCGCCUGUGACGAAGCGUGAGUGACGGUAAUGGGUAAAGAAGCACCGGCUAACUACGUG